AGUGGGCCACUUUUGUUAAGCAGAACUGGCGCUGUGGGAAGAACCA
rnacentral:rRNA from 1 species